UUCCCAUCCAGUUAUGCCGAAUACAAAUAUUAAAAGAUACAAUGGAAGUUUACCUCUCCACGAUGCAUAUAGAUUUUUAAAGCAGCAGCUUCUGUGUGCUAUGAUGGAUUUUGGAUGGAUUCUGAAAUGUUUCUCUUGCAUCCAUAUAUUUCCUUGAUUCGGGUACUUGCUACUCAUCUAGUUUCUUCCAAGGCCAUGCCUUAAAUCUGGUACAUUUAGGAAUUGUAUCUCUUUCCUCUUCCUGUGAGUGUGCAUUAGUUUAACACCGAAUUGCAUUUCAGUUACGUUCGCGUUCUUGACCCCUUCAUAACCUCGCAUAUUAAGGUAGAAUCGCUUAGUUUCAGCAACUUGACCUUUUGUUUUUGUUGUUGGUGAAGAGUAUUAGCGCAAUGUUUGAUAAAUGAACUGAAUAAGUAUAGAAACAGUGAUUCUGAAAGAGGUAUGUUUAUGUGCCUGAUAAAAACAUAUUGGUGAUUGGUGGAGAUGGACUUGGGGUACUUAUAUACAUAUUCUGGAUGCACUAUUUCGUUUUCAUCAUUGAGCAGGCAUCAAGGUAAGGCGGUUGAGUUCACCUGCACAUCAUGAAGGAAGGCAUCAAGUUAACACCGUACACUGUGCCUAUUACUUUACAUUCAUAAAUAAGCAUGUAUAUAUAUCUACAAGGUAGCAGUUAAAGGAUGUUUACUGUCAGUUUAGACAAGCAUGGUCAAGUCAUUAUAGUAAUUUUAGUAGGAAUUCUCUAUUAAUCGCUUAGUGGAAUUAAUCUGGUUGCACAUGACAAUUAUAACCUGAAAGUUAUCUUGAUUAUCUAAAAACAGUUUACAUUUGAAUUAUUCUUCAUAGUUCUUAAGUUGAGGUCCUGCAUAGAGAACCAAAAUGAAGUUAACAUCUGCCGACAUAUGCAUUUUUUCCAAGAUGGCGAGAAACGAAUGGUGAAAGCUGUAUAGAGUUAUCUAAAACUUUGGCCAGACCAGCAACAACUCUGAGUACGCUAUCUAACCCAUUUGCCCUCUCCUUGCCUUGAUCUCCCACCAUUGGACUAAACUUUUAGACAAAUUCAAAACCAAAUUGAGUUAGGCGUUGUACCAGAGGGCAUUCUAUCCCAAAUUCUUACCGGAGCCCGUUCCACUAGUUUUGUUUCACAUUCGGAGGUUCAGAGGACAUUCUAUCCCAAAUUCUGACCGGAGUCUGUACCACUAGUUUCGCCUCACAUUCGGAGCAGUUCAGAGGACAUUCUAUCCCAAAUUCUUACCGGAGCAUGUUGCACUAGUUUUGCCUCACAUUCGGAGCAGUCCGGGCUUGCAGUUUUCGUGGCCUGCUUCAAUCAGAAGAAGCCAGCGAAGCAGUCCCAGCCUGUCCUUUCAGCUGACGCAGGCAUGCUACAGUUACGAUGAGAAGCUUUUGAAGAAGCACGCAUGGCUAUCUUCUCCUGAACUUUAUGGGCCGAUAUGAACUGUAGAAGCCAUGCCAGCAAGAGGAUUUUGAUGGUCUGUUCCAAGCGCAGAGUAGAGCCUGCCGUUCUUCCCUCUGCUAAAAGCUCAGAAAUGGCUUUCCCAUGCCUUCCCCUCCAGAGUUGAGAGCGAAUCCAUAUGCCAUGCCCACUAGCCACAGAAGAUCCUUGGGAGUCUCUCAAGUGGUUUGCCUCUGCACACGGACGGGUCACAUUCCUACCCAAGGAAAUUCAGAUAGCGUUACUCACACCAGCUGUGCUUUUUGGGGACUUGGCAUGCGGUGAACGGAGAAUCCCCUUUUGCACCUCAUAUCCAACUUCCGUGGCAACUUAUCCUGCCGAUGGAGUUUCAGUAUAACUCAUGGGGAAUCAAGAAUCUGGCCGUGGGUCUGAACCUGUUAAGAACGCAGCGUCUGAUUUACACAGGAUUCGUCUCUGGGUUUUUAGGAGGAAUUCACGAUCGACAGGGAGCCUUUCCUCCCGACCAAUAGCACAUGGUUAUUCCCCAUCCCCCACCCACCCCCCACACCCCCACGGAGCCCGAUUCUGGACUCUAGAGCCCUGUAUCUUAUUUUCUACUAGAACCUUUCAAUAUUUUAGAAUUUUAUGAGUAUAAAAUUUCAACAUUCUUUUAGAACUAUCUGAAAAUAAGAACCUAGUGGUGAUGCAAGUCAUCUGAGCAAAAGAGAGGAAAUCAAAUCGCCAAAGGAAAUUGUAAACUAACACGUACCUCCCGUCCUGCAAUCGCACGUGCACCUCAUCUUUCCAGAGGCGUAGCCGGUGGGAGAACAAAAAGUAUUCAGUUCAGAGAAAAGUAAAUAUAAUGCCCUAGGCCGUUUUUAGCCCCAAAAAAGUACUACCAAGUCCCCUUUCAAGGUCCUUGCAGCAGUAUAAUUCUUUUUUUCCGAAUGAUCUGCCUUUCCUACUAGAUGAAAGGAGAGUUGUGAGAAUAAAACACACCAGUUUAAUGUUGGCUUUGAUAAAAAAAAUCAUUAGGGUGAAAUCCGACGGCAUCCUUUGUUUUGAUGUUUUGCAUUCUCUGGUAAGCUUAGGAAUUUAGUUUGUCAUGGUUAGGGUUAGGGUUACGAUUCGAUGGAGAGGAAAAGGUGUGCUUUGAUUAUGCGUGGCAAUACUCGGUCGCGUCUUUGGCCAAGUGAGUAGAGCAGAGGGAGUUAAUCGCAUCCACGACCUAAUGAGUUGAUCGAGGGUGGUCGAUGGCCGGCUACGGUGGCGAUGACUCCUCUACGAGGAAAGCAAACAUGCAAUUUAGAUGAUUUUGCAUACAGUGACAUGUAGCGGAGGGGGGGAGGGGUCUCAUCGAUGUCGAAGGGGAGGUGAGGAGAGUUUAGAAUAUAUCAGUUUGAAUAUUCGCUUUGAUCAAAAUCAUCAGUGCGAACUCUAGUGGCUGUGGCAUCCUUGUUUGCGAGUUGCCUUCUUUGCUGAGCUUACGACUUUUGGUUUAUCCCAGUUAGGGUUAGGCCUCACCAGAGAAAAAAAAGCCACCCUUCAGCAAUGCUUAGUUGCGUCUUUGGUUGAGUAGAUAGAGCAAGAGGGAGGAGUUGGUCGAGGGCGGUUGGUUACGGUGGCGAUGGUACCUCUUAUCGAGAAGCAGACACACAAUCUGGACAACCUUGCGGACAAUGAUAUGUAGGGGUGGGUGAAUGUCUUGUCAAAGCCAUAGAAACACACAGGUGGAGACGAUGCGAUGCUAAGAAUGAUUCUUUGCUAACUCGGUUUGAAUUGACUAGUAAAUUGGUCGAUAAAUCUUUGCUAACUGGUAUCUGCUUGGUUUGAAUUGACUAGUUAAUUGGUUGAUAAAUCGGUUAAUCGACAAAUUGGUGAUCCAUCGAGCAUGGAUUAAUCGAUCAGUUAAUUGAUUUGUUUGUUAAUAUUUUGUACACCGCUAAGAGGGGAGGACUGAAGGAAGCACGAUCGGGGAUGUCAUCAACACGGCGAUGAGUAGGGUUGGUUAGGGUUUGGGAGCAGAGUUGAAUUUUUGUGUGAUUAUGGGGGAGUAUUGAUUGUUUGAUUCAAUGGCAACAAAUAGCAUCCUUUGCAUCAUAUUUGGGCCUUUGCGCUUUUUAAAUUACAAAACAUGAGGAGUAGUAGCAUCUUUUGCAUCGUAGAGGGAGCGGCUCACUCGCCCAUCAUCGCUACCACCAACGAAGAUUGUGGCAUGCGGAGCGAGCGCUCGCUUUGCUCCCACCACCAAGUUCCUUGUCAGUCACCGCGGCCCCACAUGUACUAUAUUCUUUCUGCAAAAUCGAGAUUUGAGCGGCGACGUGUCUAGCAUUGUGACCGACUGGACCGGAUUUCUUUUACCUCUCGGUCAGUUUGUCACGCAUGCGCAUGCUAAUCAGUCAGAAUUAUUUACAUUUUGCAGGGUCAGACCGUGGCCAAUUAUAUAAAUCAAAAACUAGUACUCUCCGUAUAAGAGCGUUUUUGACAGUCAUAUAUUGUUAAACUCUAAUUUUAAUUUUUAUUUGAAUGGAUUUCUUCGAAAUACAUGCGAAUUCGUCCUUUGGAUCUGGUUUCCUAGUGCUACUUCUUUUUUGUCGAUACUUUUGUUUUGUUCUUGUGUUACAUCUAUUAUUAGGAAUGCGAAUAUAAAUACGUGACCCUUUCGCAUUGACUUGUUCCUGUUGCGUUUUUUCCGCAUGGAUGUGGUGUCGCGCUGUGUGCUAACGUGUGCCGCUGGUGACAUGCCUUGCAGCUCGCCCGCUCAAGGGUCGGCAGAAGGUGCCGGAGAAGGAGAACGCCCCGGCCAGGGGCCGGAGGGGCGCCGCCGGCGCGGCCGCGAGGCUCAUGGAGAAGAUCAUGCCCGGCGCGCCCGCCAUCAAGCCCAAGGCCAGCAAGAAGGACCAGUACCUGCUCAAGCGCCGGGAAGACGCGCGCGUGCCGGCGCUGCCGCCAGCCGCGCUCCCGGACGCGGCUCCCGCCCCGGACGACGGUGGCCCGCCGCCUGGCUUCCCCCCGGCUGAGCCGCAGACGCCGCCGCUGCCCAGCAGCACCGGAGGCGCCGAUGAGGAGGAGUUUAUGCUGCAGAGACGCGCGCUCCCUCCCGCUGACCAGGCGAGCGACGGCGGGGCUACCGCGGACGCCGCAGCCGCCGCCACUGCGCCGAACAAGGUGGCCAAGCCCAAGAAGGCCCGCAAGCGCGAGAGGGAGGAGCCUGCCGAAGACGUGGCCACCGCCGACGGCGAGCCCAAGAAGAAGAAGAAAAAGAAGAAGCUCGCUGAACUCAACGGCGGCGUGCCCUCUGCCGCCCCCUCCGGCGACGGCGGCGGCGCUACAAAGCCCGCAGCUUUCUCGCCCCCCAAGGUCGACCUUGACGGAUUAGAUCUGACACAGGUAAUAUCCGACCUUCAAAACCUUCCGCUGCUUCCCUUCUACGGCGCCGGCAGACGCAUCUCUGACGCCUCUCACUCCUUCAUCCUGGCGUUCCGCUCGAAACACUACAAAAAGAGCUAUGAGAACGAUCCGCCGGAAGAGACAAAGAAGGGCUUGGAUAAUAAGCCCAAUGUCGUUGCUGCCGCCGCCGCCGUCGUCUCUGACGGCCAGCCCCCCAAACCGUUGAAGAAGAAGCCGGUCAUGAGGCCCAGCGACCCCACCAGUGCUGGCGUCAAGCGCCCGCCGUCUGACCGCCAGGAGGAGAUUGCCUCCAAGAAGAAAAUCAAGCUGGACAAGAUUAAGACUCUGGCCGCCGACAAGAAGGCCGGGCUGGAGCAGAAAGUCGUCACCGCCACCGCAGCUGCGGGAGGCGGGACGACGGCGGCGGCUCAGCUGCGGCGGGCUGGCAUGAAGGAGAAGGCUCUGGCGGCAGCCAAGAAGAAGGUGCCAGCGGCGGCGCCUGUGAAGAGGACGCCGUCGCCGACGGCGCUGAUGAUGAAGUUCCCGCUGAAGAGCACGCUGCCGUCGGUGGCCUCCCUCAAGGCGAGGUUCGCGCGCUUCGGGCCGCUCGACAUCGACGGCAUCCGCGUGUACUGGAAGUCCUACAUGUGCCGGGUCAUCUACAAGUUCCAGUCCGACGCGGAGGCCGCGCUCAAGUAUGCCAAGGCCAACGCCAUGUUCGGCCAGGUGGCCCCCAACUACUACCUGCGCGGCGUCGAGGGAGGGUCGGCCGGCGCCGACCCAGGGCCUGAGGCGGCCCCUCCGCAGCGCUCUGACCUGCGGCUCAUGGAGACCACGCCGUUCAGGCCUGGGAGCUCCGGCAAUGGCGCUCCGCUGACGCUGUCCAAGGCGGUGCCGGCGCGCAUGUCGGUUGGGCUGCCCAAGUCAAUCCUGAAGAAGAGCAACGACGAGGGCGGGUUGGCUGCGGCCAGCGCGCUCCGGGACUCCCCUCGGGUGAAAUUCGUGCUGGACGGCGGGGACAGCAUGCUCGAGCCACCUCCAUUGCCAGCGAGCUUCGACGGAAACAAUGGCCCGGACACUGCUGCACCAGUGAGCAAGAUCGCGAGGUCGCUCGGCUUCGCACAGCCGCCUCUGCAGCCGCCGGCACGCCCUGCGCAGCCCAACAUGCAGCCACUCAUGCGCCCACAGCACCAGCAACUGCAGCCGCCACGCGCACCCGAUUCACAGCCACUCCCACCACCGCCGCCGCUGCCAUACCAGCCUCGCAUCAACGAGCCAUCGUCGUACCAGCAGCCCCGCAUCAGCGAGCCAUCGCCGUACCAGUCUCGCGUCAACGAGCCACAGAUGUACCAGCCUCGUCGCACGGACGCGCCGCCAAUUUUCAACAUGCAGCCGCCGUACCAGCCUCGCCAGAGUGACGCGCCGCCACCGUUCAACAUGCAGCCGCAGUACCAGCCUCGCCACAGCGACGGACCGCUCGCGCUCCCUGGACAGCCGCCGCUGCCGCCAUACCCUCCCCGUGCCGGUUUCCCCGGACAGCAGUACUCUUCCCGCUCCGACGACAUGCCGCCGGCUCGCUUCGACAACAACGCCGGCGGCAACACCAUGCCGGUGUGGAAGAGGGGGCAGAAGGAGUUCGACGAGGAGCUGAUGAGGGUGAUGCUGGGGAUCGCCAAGCUGGUGGAGCCAUUGAUGGACAAGAACGGCAACUUCCCCUACCACCUCUUCAGCCGGUCAGCGUGAGGCGGCAGCAGCUCCAGGGCAGAGCUCGCUGCGUUGUAUCUGACUGCUGGGUCCCCGUGGCGCUGGCAGCACAGCAAGUGCGGUAGUAGUGCUAGUGACUUUGCCUCUCGAGAGAAGGACAACCAAGAUGAUGCCUCCCCUGUCAUGUAGUGUAUAAUUACCUCUUGUUUUCUCCUUUGUCAGAGCGUGUAUGAACUCUCUCGAUUCUAGUCGUCAUCAGACUGUCAAUUAAGUUGUGGUUUAAGGACAUCAAAUUGCUGUUGUAUGGUUUUUAAGUCGAAAUUAGGGUUCUGUUUAGUGUCCCAAAUGCUCGAACCUAGGCCAGCGCGAAAAAUGUACUACUCCCUUCGAUCCAAAUUUGAGAAAACUACUCCCUUCAAUCCAAAUUACUUUUUUUAAAAUAAAUAUAUCUAGCAUUAAAAUACGUCUAGAUACAUUCGUUUGGGCAACAAAUAAUAUGGAUCAAAGAAAGUAGUAGUAGCGAUUCCAACAUUAGAAGUUCUCCAUACGUACUCCGUUUUGUUAUUUGUAUAUGUUAUAGAUGAUGGAUGUUCUUAAGAGCAACUAGCAUCAUAGAAAUAUGCAGUGCUCCACACUUGGGUGAUCGAAUGCCCCAAAAGUCAAUUUCAAAUGUUUCAGAAAGAUCUGAAAAAAUGUGAAUGUUCACAAGACAUGUGUCAAAUAGCCUAUACAAAAUUUCAGAUCCAACCUCAAAAUACACAUCGAGAAACAAAAAAGAAGGCAAAUUCAACAUGAAUAGUGCCAUUGGAAGACAAGCAAAAAUGGCGCUAUUCACUUCUAGAUUUAUAUUUUUUUUUGUUUUUCAACGUGCAUUUGGAAUUUGGAUCUAGAAAAGACCAACCGGGGGUAAAGUUUCAACUUCUUACCUAGCCCUCCUCUAUUUUAAUGGUGAUGUGCUCCGUACCAGUUCCGCANNNNNNNNNNNNNNNNNNNNNNNNNNNNNNNNNNNNNNNNNNNNNNNNNNNNNNNNNNNNNNNNNNNNNNNNNNNNNNNNNNNNNNNNNNNNNNNNNNNNNNNNNNNNNNNNNNNNNNNNNNNNNNNNNNNNNNNNNNNNNNNNNNNNNNNNNNNNNNNNNNNNNNNNNNNNNNNNNNNNNNNNNNNNNNNNNNNNNNNNNNNNNNNNNNNNNNNNNNNNNNNNNNNNNNNNNNNNNNNNNNNNNNNNNNNNNNNNNNNNNNNNNNNNNNNNAACAUUUCCUGCCUCGCCCACUUGGUUUCAGCCAUGCACAUUCUUUUCUGCCGCCUCGUGGCCACACGUCUAAAACAGACAAUGAUAGGUCUAUUCAUUCUUCCGCGGUGCUUGAGAUCAAAUAUGUAAUGGUUUCACGUCAAACUUGUAUUACACAUGUUAGCCGUGCUCAGAACAUAAUUAGUCACCCAUUAGCAAAUCUUGCUCAUGUGCACGGUAGAACAGUUGUUUGGUUUAGAUAUGGUCUUUCCAAAACAGUCCAAUUCUGUAGUGCCGAAUGUAAGCCCGACAAAUAAUGAGUAUUACAAAAGUUUGCUCGCAAAAAGGAAAAAGCUUUCAAAAAAGGAUCCUUUAUAAUUUCUUCUUCUUUAGGGCAUGGACACUCUCAUAUGUAACGAGAGUGUUAUUUGUGAUUAAGCGGACCCGAAACGAACGCAAUUUGUUCUUCUCCGAUCACCUCAUCAAACGAAUCUCUGAACCUGUAGAGAUCAGGACAUAGUGCAAUAGGGCGAUGUUCACAAGUCAAUUGUGGGUUACGAACCUUUGGGAUUAGAGUAAUAACUCUGUCAUUUAGUCCCAACGGAAACUCACCCUUUCUCUCCUAAUACUUUCACAUGCAGUUCUCCUACAUGUUUCCAAAAGAGAAUGUAUGUUAGUCUUAUUACACAUACAACUAGUGCACCAGAAAUUGGAAAAGGAUAAACGUACGAGCGUCUGGACUGGACCAAAGGCCUUGAGGUUUCAUGGUGGGUUAACGACGUAGGGGCUAGGUGCUCAAAGUCCAUGAGAGAGACAUGCAGGAGACGACUAUCCACCAUCCACAUCACCCCUUUAAAAAACAUCCACACCAUCCACUAUCUAGUAUGCAUAAUUUUUAGUUUGUAGUGUGAAAGAUGAAGAACUAGCGUGAUGAUCUGAAGUCGGAAACAUUUGUUGGAUAGAGCUUCAAAGGCACCCAAGAUAACUUUGACCACAACGCCGACACGGAAGUCUUUUGAGGUUGAAGAUCAAAAUGUGAACAAUCGUGCAUGUUCUUGCAACAUAACUAAAUUGUUAGAGAUAUUGUCGCUACAAAGAAUAAUUUAUAGUUUCAUUAUCUUUAUUAUGAACUUUUAUGUCUUAUAAAUCGUUGCACUGUUUUUUUGGGACUAUGCGUACCCAUGUCGGAAAAUCCUGGCUCCGCUGCGAAUUCCAGGAUCUCAAUGAGGGGACACACAUCAACCAUGAAACAUGACCAUAACACUUGGCAUAUGGAAAAAAUGAGUGUCCCCAAGAACUUCAUGAACAAACACUAGAUCCUUAUGAACUACAGCCAGCCAUAUGCCUCAACAAUGUUCCAAUGAGAAAAGUGCAGCUCCUCUAUUUGAGAAAAUUGUCAAUGUGACAAGCAAAGCAGUGCUGGGAAAGAUGUACCGAUUUAAUCAAGUAAUAAGGGAGUAUCUGGCAAUAGAGUGGAAGGAACCAUGAUGGAGAUAUCACAUGCCACAUAGAGGAUUAUCUGCAACAUAUUUACAUUAAGUUCAUGAUGUUUUAGUCUUCUUCUUCUUCUUGCACUUCAUCAGAAAAACUGAUCAACUCAGGUUGAGAUAGAUGAUCACACAUGCUAUGUGGUAACUUCGUUAUUUUUUUAACAUAGUACAAAUGCUCAUACACUCAUCUUUAUGAGCAUCUUCAAGAGAUUGAGCCAAAACAUCAUUUAAGAUUGACGGAGUCGCCACAAACGUCUUCAUAGUCGAGGGUAACGUCCCAUCCCACUAAAGCAUAUCGCCCGAAGACAUUAAAUAAAUUCAGGAAAAUGCGACCAUCAAUGCCAAAUCUAGGAUUCGAAGACUGAUAUGAGUUGGUUCCACCACAUCAAAAUCGUCCGAUGUGUUUAAAUUUACAUCAAAUUUGUUUACUUUCGUUAAAUUUUAUUUGGAAUGUAACCGAACAUUUGCAGCUAGUUUUGAAUGACAGACUUCCACAUCAUUGACGGAUACGGCGUCCGGUUUGGGAGUUAGCGUUGGAGAUGCCCUUACCAUCUAAGCUAUUCACGACUGAUGUUUUAAGAUGAACUAACUUUGUCGACUGUCGACCACCAAUUUUUUUAACACUGUAUAGACGCAUACGCUCAUACAUACAUACAUACUAUAUAGACUCACCUAUAUGAACACAGCAUACACUAUUUUUAUGAACACCUCUAAAAGACUGAGCCGACACAUCAUCUUGAGAUUGAUGAGGUCAUCAUAGACGCCUUAGUAGUCAACAGGAACAUCUCCUCCCACUGCACAUCGCCGAAGACAUGAAAUAAAUCCAGAGAAAUGCUUGCUAUAGCUGGCCAAUUGGCCCUUUUUUUGCGCCGGCCCGUGAGCACGCCGGCACGGCCCGCCUUGGGCCAGGCAUGACACGGGCUAAAUGGGCCGGGCCCGGCACGCGACACGCCCUGGGCCGUGCCUGGGCCUAGAGGCUGGGCACGCAAGCCGGCACGACACGGCCCGGUUACGUUUUUUUUACUUUUUUAUAUAUCUAUAUAUGGCCCAACAUGUAAAAAUAGGCUAAAAAACACUCAGUGCGUCAAAUAACAGGCUGAAAAUAUACGGCCCACCAUGCUAAACGGGCCAACGUGCCGGCCCGUUUACUAACUGAGCCGUGCCUGGGCCUGGAGCGCAGCAUGUGGGCCGGCACGGCACCGCCCGUAUAGUAAUUGUGCCCUGGCGGGCCGGCCCGUUUGGCCAGGUAUGCAUGUCGAGAAAACUGGGACCACUAUUUAAACAGACAUGUAUGUAUCUGACCGUCGAUCGACCAUCUUCUUCUCGAAAAAAAGAAAAAGAAAAAACUCUUGGAUCGACCAAACCCUAGAGAAAGAGGGGCUCCUCUUCCAUGGCCGGCGGCGAUUCUUCUCCCGUGGCGGCUGCGGCUGCGGCGAGGAAGUGAGAGUGGGACCAAGAAGAGUAUCGGUGCGAGCCGGCGGAGUAUUCCGUGGAUCCGCGAUACAGCGAGUACGACCCCAAGCAGGGUGUCACACCCCAUCCUGGAUCGGGAUCGGAGAUUAGGGAAUUUCGUAGCAGGGGUUGCGAGAGACAAGAGUAUAUGCGAGGUAUAUGCUUGUGUUAGCUGUAAAGUUUGACAGAGUUGUUCAUAGGAGAAUAAUGCCCGCUAUUACAGAGUGGGGUGCUGGCUUAUAUAGCUCAGCCGGAACAGCGAAAAGAAACAGGAACGGCAAAGGGAAAAGCUACAACACGGAAGUCACUGUUACAGGCGAGCGAAGCGAGCCAUUAGAUUGCCCCCCCAAGGUGCAUCCUAACCGCACAUUAACUGAAUAUGGCUCUGCAGUGAUCCGAAACUGACACAGGGCUGUUUCAUAUGCGUCCGCUACUUCUUCGACGGCAAACUCGACCUGGACAGGAGUGUACGUUCCAAUCCAAUCCAAUCCCCCUUAUUGAUCCUUAUUGUCUUCGUUAUGCAUGUCUAGUUCAUGAUUUUUUUUUGGUAUUUCAGUUCAAAGUUCAAAUACCAGUCAGUAACUUAGUAUCACUUCAUUCCCCAAAAUCAAUCCGAAGGUUGCCUCCACUUCCUACUAGAUUUAUUCGGAAGCAAAGGCUGCCGCUUCCAAAUUCAUUCGUCAAUUAGGCUCUGUUUGGACGCUCACUACUUUUAAUUACUAUACACCCUCCGUUGCGAAUUAUAAGAUGUUCUAACCUCUUUCUGAAUUGGAUGUAUAUAGAUGCGUUUUAGUGUGUUUGUUCACACAUUUUAGUCUGUGUGUAGUCCAUAUUAAAAUAUCAAAAUCAUUUACUAGUUCGGGAAAGAGGUGAUAGUAUAUUACUAUGGAAAAGAUGGGAGCACAGCCUGCCUGGUUUGGUUUUCAAUGGAUCUGUUCCAACCAAUUUACACCUACAUACAUACUCUUCCUUUUACUCUCUUUGGUUGAUUGAGAUGAGCUUUCCUCUCGUUUGGCAGCACCUGCUGGUCCCAUGCGGCAUACUGGUAAAAUCUUCAGAGAGGGGUUCCCGCUCGCAAACUCGGUCAAUGUUGUCUCCAUCAAAUAGUUUCCUCCGACUAUGGCUAUCCACUCAGUGUUUAUCGUACCAUCAUAGCCAGGGACAGUUUAGAUAAAAAAUGUGUCUAUGUAUUCCAGCGCGACAAGGACGAUUGCCAGCUCAUCAGCUCAAAGGUUUUACUGCCAUUUGCCUCGUAGCUACAGACACAUACAACAUAUCAAUUUGUAUUUUCUUGUACUGGUACUUCCUCAUAUCAGUCCUCUGAUUUACAAAAUAAAAAAAAAC
rnacentral:lncRNA from 1 species